GCCAGUGUGCCAAUGCCUAUCAAAUAUCUACCUGUCAUGUUUGUCAUAGGACAGGUAGAUAUUUGAUAGGCAUUGGCACGUUGGG
rnacentral:pre_miRNA from 2 species